CUAUUGCAGUUGUUUUAUUGGUUAAUUUUUGUAGGUCUUAGGUUAAAUUUUGAUUUUUUUUUAAUGUAUAACUGUAAUUGUAAGUUUUGUUAAACGAAUUAAAUUAGUACCUAAUUAGUCAAAUGUUAAGAUAGCAGGAGUAAAGUUGGAUUUAAACUGAAAGAAUAUUGGCAGAUUUUCUAAAUUAUCUUUGGAGGUUGAGUGAUAAUUGAGAACCCUCAUUAACUACUAUUGUUUUUGUCUCAUGUAUGAUCGUUUAUUUUAUACUUAAGGUUUAUAAUAAAAGAUUUUUUUCUUUUAAAAUAGAUAUAUAUUUGGUUUAUGCAGUAGUUAUAUUUGACCUACAAUAAUUAAUGUUGUGGAUUUAUUUUUUUGUACAAAAUAAUGAAAAUGUAAAAGACAGUAAAAAAGUUUUUAUGACUUUUUGAAAAUUAUUUAAAUGUGG
rnacentral:rRNA from 1 species